GGGGGCGUAGCUCAGUUGGUAGAGCACCUGCUUUGCAAGCAGGGGGUCGUCGGUUCGAAUCCGAUCGCCUCCA
rnacentral:tRNA from 4 species